rnacentral:rRNA from 1 species
CCUACGGGAGGCAGCAGUGAGGAAUAUUGGUCAAUGGACGCAAGUCUGAACCAGCCAUGCCGCGUGCAGGAAGACGGCUCUAUGAGUUGUAAACUGCUUUUGUACGAGGGUAAACGCAGAUACGCGUAUCUGUCUGAAAGUAUCGUACGAAUAAGGAUCGGCCAACUCCGUGCCAGCAGCCGCGGUAAUACGGAGGAUUCAAGCGUUAUCCGGAUUUAUUGGGUUUAAAGGGUGCGUAGGCGGUCGGAUAAGUUAGAGGGGAAAUCCUGAGGCUCAACUUCGGAAUUGCCUCUGAUACUGUUCGGCUAGAGAGUAGUUGCGGUAGGCGGAAUGUGUGGUGUAGCGGUGAAAUGCUUAGAGAUCAUACAGAACACCGAUUGCGAAGGCAGCUUACCGAGCUACUUCUGACGUUGAGGCACGAAAGCGUGGGGAGCAAACAGGAUUAGAUACCCCAGUAGUC